UCUGCAGGGGAUGUAUUUGGACAUAAGCAGGAAAAAACAUAACAGCAUACAAGUUUGGAAUGCCAUGAGGGUGCUCUGCAGGUUGGAGCUAAGCUGAUGGACGGGGGCUUUCAGGUCCGUACGGCUCUGCUGACUCAACUUCUCCUCCAUCUCCAGAGUACAGC